rnacentral:rRNA from 1 species
UACGUAGGGUGCAAGCGUUGUCCGGAAUUAUUGGGCGUAAAGAGCUCGUAGGCGGUUCGUCGCGUCGGCUGUGAAAUCCCGAGGCUCAACCUCGGGUCUGCAGUCGAUACGGGCGGACUGGAGUUCGGCAGGGGAGACUGGAAUUCCUGGUGUAGCGGUGAAAUGCGCAGAUAUCAGGAGGAACACCGGUGGCGAAGGCGGGUCUCUGGGCCGUAACUGACGCUGGAGGAGCGAAAGCGUGGGGAGCGAACGGG